rnacentral:rRNA from 1 species
AUGGUGGCUCGGGCGGAACUCGAGGCAGAUGAACGUCCGUUGUUCCUGUCGUGCUGUUUUGUGCUAGCUUCUGGCACCAGCCGCCAGAGGGAUGUGUGCGCCAGUACACCAGAGAGAGGGACGCGAAGUACCCUUACUUUGCACGGAUCCACGACCACAGCGUCAGUCUCGAUCCUGCAAAAGAACCUGGCCGACAGUCGCGCAGCAGCACAGGCCGCAGCAGCACAAGGCCACGACAUCGAGGAAGCCAGCAGGAGAGGUGAGAGUCACGCUGGUAACCAGUGGCGACUAGGGUUCUCUGCUGCUUCCAGCCGUGUAGCGAGCUGUCGCAGUAAACCGGCCACUGCAUGGACGCUCCGCUCCAACAAGGCCGACGUCGGGGUUGACCUCCGUGCCAGAUCUGCGUGCGCCCAAGAUGCCGCCGCCACUGUGCCUAUGGAUGAGGACUCCGUCGAACUCGCUAGAGCAGAGCCUCGGGUGGGAGCAGGUGGGAAGGUGGAGGAAGGAGGGGCCGCCGGGACAGUGGGCGUGCGGAGGAGGGAUAGUGGAGGGGAAGGGAUAAGAUGA